CCCACAGCCUGGAUGCCAACAACCUCAUCGUCAUCAGAGUCACCUCUGCUGUUUAUCACACAAAAGACACUGAGAUGACAAACCGCUGGAGAAUCACGGACUCCAGCUCAGAGGGCAGAGUUAUCAUGUCGGUGCUCUGCCAGUUUCUAAAGAGGUUUGCACAGAGCAUGAAGAGAAAGGCUACAGAGGAAGAGAGCAGCAGCAGGAGCCCCACUCCACCAAAGAAACACUUCAGACUGUGAAGCCUUUCUCAGAGAACUUAUUUUCUGAAGACUCUUUAAUAGUUUUAAGACUUUGGCACUGCUUCUGUGAACUGUGUUGGACAUAUGGCAGGGCUGUGGACUGGAUCAUGAACGAGGAACAUCUAUUGUAGAGCCAAGUGUAAAUCUGUGCAACACGAACUAAGGAUCCAUAAAGACAGUGCCAAGUGUACAUUAUCCUCUGCUGCAUCUCAGACAUCAGCAAGAACCAACACAGUGAAUCUGAUGAAAAGGAGAAACAAAAAGAGACACACCACAAACGAGUUUCCCUUACUAACAUGAGUGGAGCAGUAACUGCAUACGGAGUAAGAAACAGGAGCAUCCAAAGACAACUGAGAGUCUUUAGUGCACCGUGAACAGCAGUCACCUCAGAGCAAGAGAGUCCUCGUGGCUGUCUGGGUUCUCUCCAGGAGCUC